rnacentral:lncRNA from 1 species
CCCCGCCCCUCCCUCGCCGGGGACGAAGCACGCGGCCGAUCCGAAGUCGGCGAGGCGGGCGCGCCGCCCCGCGCCGUCGAGGAGGAUGUUGUCGGGCUUGACGUCGCGGUGCGCCACCCCUCGGAAGUGGCACGCGGCCAGCGCCGCCGCGAUCUGCGCCACCACCGCCGCCGCCUCCGGCUCCGUCGCCGGCUCCCCACGCCGCUCCCGGAUCCAGUCGAAGAGGUCGGGCCCCUCGCAGAGCUNACCCCUCGGCGGUGGCAAGCGGCCAGCGCCGCCGCGAUCUGCGCCACCACCGCCGCCGCCUCCGGCUCCGUCGCCGGCUCCCCACGCCGCUCCCGGAUCCAGUCGAAGAGGUCGGGCCCCUCGCAGAGCUCCAUCACGACGUGGAUCCACCCCUCGUCCUCGUACACCGCUCGCACCCCCACCACCCCGGGGUUCCCCGCCCCCGCGAGCUGCGCCACCUUCGCCUCCACCCCCGCCCCCUCCCGGUCCACC